ensembl:lncRNA
UCCUAUUCAAGAGCUUUUAUUAAAUUGAAAUGCGAACACCAUUGCAAAGAGAUUUUACAAUGACAAAAUAUAGAAAAGUCCACCAGAAAGCUACAGACUUCAGUAACAAUAUUGAUCUUACAAGUGAAAUUGCUAACAGAUUUUAUUAAAGCCAGCAUUUUCAAUAUUAAGAACUUAAAAAAUACAUAAUUUUAAAGCAUUUUCCUUCAAAUACACUUAGAAACAAUGAAGAAUUCCUGAGCAACUGUUUUUAUACCAGUACAUUCCAACCAAUGUACAUACUGAAUAUGAAAUCUACUUUCUAUCAUUCUUUAAAUUUUAGAAAUUUACAAAACGUUCGGGUCUGGUUCAUAGAAUAAUUGUGCUUCAAGUCACUGUGCUGCUAAAGUAAUGACACUACAAUAACUUGAAUAUUCCAGGUUGCUUGCAAAUUCUGAAAGUGGAAUUGAAAAAAAAUGCCUAGCUUUUAUUGCAAGACUAAGAAUGAAUUUGUUUACACAAAUAUAAAAAAUGCAACAAAAAGCCUUAAAUAUCGGACUGGCUCUUUCUUAGAUGAAAAGCCUGUUGUUUAUUGUGCACGCUGUUUAGAACAUGCAAUUUGAUUUAUACCUACGUUUCUUUGAGAGACCUGCUGCCACUAUCAAAGACAAGGAAGUUCCAGAGACUUUCCUCUGCAUUUAACAGCAUGCCAGAAAUUCAAACGAAUACAGUUAAUUAGUGAUUCUUGGUAUUUUUUUUCCUUGGCAGUACCUAUUCAGAAUGGGAACUCUGAUACUGCUGUUUUACAUAUUGACUCAAAAAAUUAUAUGAAGCACAAUAUAAAUAUUUCAGAAAUUCAGACAGUGCUGAGUAUCUCUGAGAAAUAUAAUGCAUUUACAAAACUGAUGGCUGUGCCAUUCCAGAUGAAGAGUGGCAUUUGUGGUCAGAAUUAAAAACUGCUUUACAAGAUGAAAAAUGAACAACAGUGUAGCAGCCCAGGGGAUCCCUUCUGAGUAUAUCUGAGUAGUAGUUUUUCCUCUUCCUUCUGGAAUGAUGGACCCGGGGAUGAGAAUUCAGAGUAGUCUACAGUGUUAUGAACUUUAAAACUUAUUGUUUGACAUCAUAAUACUUUCACCUGCAUUUUGUAGAAAAAUCUGUAUAUUCCUUAACAUACAAAAUUAUCUGUCCUGCUCAAGGGAUACUUUCUAUUAGUGACAUCUACAAAGGUUUCCAGCAUCCUCUAAAAAUUCUGCUUAGUGCUGUGUCUUUAAAUCCGACCAUUACGAUCCUUGUAGGAAAUGAAGUGAAAUCUGUCCAUUUUUACUUAUGUCAAAAUGAAGUGAAGGUACUCAAGAGCUCACUAAAACAGAAGCAGCAUUCUCCAAAGAAAAAAUUAUCAUUAGAUAAAGACAUAGACCAAAACAAGCAGCAUCACAGAGUCAAACUGCAUAAUAGCUCUGAAUUCUGACAAUAAAAAAUGUGAAAAAUAUUCCUUAUUUCUAACUUCUCUGUGCACUGAUGUUGAGUAUACACCCAGUUUUUUGCCUACUGGCAUGGCAAGAACCCAUACAAAUAAUUCAGACAUCUUUUGAGUUAUUUUCAACAUGCAUUACCUCUCUUAAGAACUUACAUUACAUGGCAGAAAUGUAUUUUAAAUGUCUUGGUAAAUCUCAGAAUUUAUCACCAAGACAUGGACUUCGUGAUUAAGGAAAACGUUAAUGAUUGUCAUGUCUUGUCAUACAUGUUUCGAUUGUCACAGGUACAAACUAAGGAAUGCCCAGAAAUGCCUACAGACCAUUUACUAGUAUCCACAAAAUUCUUUAUCUCUUGGAGCUUGUAGCUCAUUUCAUCAAUAGAAGAAUGUUUAAGAAUGGUAAGUGUAUCUGUGAGACACUGUAAAUGGAUAAAUAAAAAUCAUGUGUAAAAAAAAAAAAUAAUUGAAGUUUAAUUUAAAGACAGUGUGGUACACUUUAUUUUGUUGAAUUUUUCCUUAGGAAUGUAGGAAAUGCAACAGCAGAUUAGAUGAGGGGCGUGGCCCUUCAAACAUGGUUUGCCACGGACCAAUACCAGAUUAUCAGGAGAAAAUCCCAUAAUUAAUAGAAACAGAGUGACCAACUUUCAUGUAUAAGUCUUUUUCACUUUUUAUGUAAUAGAUGAUCUGUAGUAGCCAAUUUCAGCAUCUUACCAACAGGUUAGCACAUAAUGAGGCAUUACUAUUUUUUGUGGACUAUGUCCAGUAGCUGUCCAUAUUCCUAUUUUUGAUGUAGAAGUAUUUUUUUCCCCCUUAAAAACACAUUUAUCACUUUACUGUUGGAUAUUUCUUUUAAUCUACUCUUACAUUUUAUUCUUUUGUUUUCAUUUUUUUGUUCUCCCUCCCUGUCUUCUCAACUGCAGUCACCAUCCUACAGCAUACUGAUUGUACUCUUCUGUUCUGACACAUGCAGCAACCAUGUCCCUCCUCCCGUCAUAAAACACUCUUUCUUCGUCAUACACAAUGUGUUUCUGUAUUCCUCUUAUCUCCUGCUUGACAUACACAGGAGAGAUGAAGAAAUUCCUUUGUUUCAAGAGGAUUUUCAAGGCCAAGCCACAUGAUUCUUCCAGCUCAGUGUAGUUCAGUCAAUCCUUCCACACUACUAUCACUGGAGCUGAAGGAAGUCAGUGACUUGGUUUUUAAUAUGUGUUUUGUAACAGUUGAAAGCAUGGCUAGUCUCCCUUUUCACUCACUCAGGAACAAUUUGAAGAUUUCCUUCUCAGAAACUCAACUGAAAACAGGUCUUCCUAAAUAGAACGUACUAACAAAUGCUUAGUUCCAUUGGUGGGAUCCAGAAUCAGAGCACCUCUGAGAACUCAGCUUUCUCAGUCCUAAUGAGUUGAGCAUUGAGCACACAGGCAGUGGCAAAAAACAGGAAGGGGAAAACUGUGACUGCCAAGCUGGUCAGCAUGGCUUUCCCUACAAGAUGAAAACUUCUUUGUUAUUUUUCUUCCCACAUAAAAACUCUUCCUAUUUAGCUAUGCAUCUCUGACAUCCCAUUCUAGUACUACUAGUGGGACAAAACUGAUGAUUUCACGACAAGUUGUUCAUUAAAAACAAUUCAGAUAUUACAAACAACAUUUUAAGUCAAUUUGCGGUUUGACACACAAAGGAAAAUGCUUGUCUGUCUUUUUAAAGGGAGUGGAAAAAAAACCCACAAAACACCUGAGGUAGUGAUUCUUUAAGAAUAUGGUGCCUGAUCUCACGAAACUUUCAUUUCAUUUGUCUUUAUGGCUUUGUAGAAAAUGUCUACUAUUCAUAAACUGGCUUAGAUGACUUUGGUAUCCUUGCCCAAUGCUUUCAAAUUCUUUAGAGUUGAUGAGAAAUUACCAAACACAUUUACAAGCUUAAUGAUGUGAACUCCACAUACACAGUGCUUCAGAGAUAACAAACAAAAUGGUUCUUAUUCACUUUUAACAUCCGCUGUUACUACACUUUAAAUACUUGAAUUACAUUUAAAGCAACUAUAGAUUUUCCAGCCAUCUAAACAUAUACACAUAAACAAAUACACCACAGAAUUCACUGCUUUAACAUAAACUAAUUAGUACUAUAUUUUUGUGUUUCAGUUUGUUCUAUAAACACAUAUAUCCCCUUAGUAGUAUUAUAUAAGGUCAAAUGACUACACUUUAAUUAAAUAAUCCCUUGUAGUAACAUAGUAUCAUCAAGAGCGUUCCUCAAACCUUCAUUUUAUGUGAAAGUAAGUUUUGGCAGCACAUGUCCACUUCAGUAAAUUAGAUUUCUUCAAGUCAGGAACACCAUAUUGAAAUACCAGAAUUGUACAUCAAAGUUGUCCUUGCUAAAAGAAAAACUCUAAUUUGAAAAGUUAGAAUGAGUUAUAUUUCUCAAUACUGAAGAAAACUGUUAAUAAAAUUAUUAAUUAAAAUGUAUAUUCAAAUUUAUGAAUUUAUAAAAUUGAUUUUCUGAAGAGCCUUUUAAGCCUUUUAUGCUACUGAAAUUUAGAAGUGACACAGUUAACACAGAAAAAACCCCAAACAUUCAAACUUCACUCAAAGUGAGAAAUUUGGUGCAAGACCUGGGGGGGCUAAUCCCAGUUCCUGGGGUAAACUCUGUUACAUGUUAAACCACUGUAUAUCGAAGAAGGUGUCAGGAACCUGUUAUUACAUAAGGGUGUACCAUAACUUUACAAGAAUCCACUGUGUACAAUUGCUACAAAAUCUCAUCUAUUUCAUAACAAAAAGCUAUUCCUUGAAGAGCUGUAAUAAAAAAUAAUGUUGCAAACAAGACAGAAUGAAAUAUUUUAACAUCCAAAGGCCCUCAAACUUAGCUGAAGAUUAUUCUGAUUUUACAGAAUUGUAUUCUCUUUUGAUGUGCAAAAGUUCUGUGUAGAUGUUCAAGGCCACUUUUAGAAGGUGUUACUCCCACCCGGGAAGUAGGUUGUUUUGGACAACGAAAGUGCAUCCAAAGGAAAAAUAAUCCAACUGCACAUUUGUUCAGCCUAAAGGAUGACGUAUGUUCAUGAAAAAUGUGUUCAGGUCAUAUUUAGCUAGCAGAUUCUUCAAAAAGCUUGGCUACUUCCGAGCAAUCAAAAAUGUGUUGCUUUCACUCUGGUAGAAUUCCUGACUUCACAGAAAGCCAUAAUGAUUUGGCAUCAUGGGACUCUCACUGGCAAUGGUGAGAAAGAAUUUAUGCCCCAUGAAGUAAUUUAAGCUACAGCUAACUUGCAGUUUCAGAACUAAUUUAUGGAUAGGCAUAGAAAAACUCUGUCUCAGUUUUUCUUCCUGAUGGAGAAUCAGUGAACUAUUGGAGGGGCCUUCUUUUGAGUACCUUGUAAUCUUGGUUUUGGUUUUUUUUUUUUUUUUCAUGGAAAAAUAGUCAUGGGUUUUUGUUUGUUUGUUUGAUUGUUUGUUUUUUUCUUCUGGCAGCUUAGAAGAAAAGCUGAUCUUUUGGGCUUUCUGAACUCAAGGUGUUAAAGUUAAUGAUGUUCCUGGGACCCAAAAGCUGCAACAGAAUUGGACAAACCUCACAAUAUUAACACAGACUAUAAUUUUCAAUUUAAGCAUUGUCAAUUCAGAAAAUGUUUUCAAAAAAAAAAAAAAAAAA